rnacentral:tRNA from 1 species
GCCGGAAUAGCUCAGUCGGUAGAGCAGAGGACUGAAAAUCCUCGUGC